rnacentral:rRNA from 1 species
CGGGGGGCAGCAGUGGGGAAUAUUGCACAAUGGGCGGAAGCCUGAUGCAGCAACGCCGCGUGCGGGAUGACGGCCUUCGGGUUGUAAACCGCUUUCGCCUGUGACGAAGCGUGAGUGACGGUAAUGGGUAAAGAAGCACCGGCUAACUACGUGCCAGCAGCCGCGGUGAUACGUAGGGUGCGAGCGUUGUCCGGAUUUAUUGGGCGUAAAGGGCUCGUAGGUGGUUGAUCGCGUCGGAAGUGUAAUCUUGGGGCUUAACCCUGAGCGUGCUUUCGAUACGGGUUGACUUGAGGAAGGUAGGGGAGAAUGGAAUUCCUGGUGGAGCGGUGGAAUGCGCAGAUAUCAGGAGGAACACCAGUGGCGAAGGCGGUUCUCUGGGCCUUUCCUGACGCUGAGGAGCGAAAGCGUGGGGAGCGAACAGGCUUAGAUACCCUGGUAGUCCACGCUGUAAACGGUGGGUAGCUAGGUGUGGGGUCCAUUCCACGG